rnacentral:sRNA from 1 species
GUAUGAUGGUGGUGGUGGUGGUGUCUUCCUGUCUCAACGAUACCAAUUUUCUAGUGCUGAGAUCCUGAGACAAUGAAUCAUAGUGAAAGAUUCGUUUUCAUUGCAGAGUGGUAUGAUCCAAAUGCUUCACUUCUUCGACGUUAUGAGCUUUUAUUUUACCCAGGGGAUGGAUCUGUUGAAAUGCAUGAUGUAAAGAAUCAUCGCACCUUUUUAAAGCGGACCAAAUAUGAUAACCUGCACUUGGAAGAUUUAUUUAUAGGCAACAAAGUGAAUGUCUUUUCUCGACAAUUGGUAUUAAUUGACUAUGGGGAUCAAUAUACAGCUCGCCAGCUGGGCAGUAGGAAAGAAAAAACGCUAGCCCUAAUUAAACCAGAUGCAAUAUCAAAGGCUGGAGAAAUAAUUGAAAUAAUAAACAAAGCUGGAUUUACUAUAACCAAACUCAAAAUGAUGAUGCUUUCAAGGAAAGAAGCAUUGGAUUUUCAUGUAGAUCACCAAUCAAGACCCUUUUUCAAGUAGGUCCUUAAUUUGGGGAUUAGUGGUAUGUAAAGGAGGAUAUC